ensembl:snRNA U6 U6 spliceosomal RNA
GUUCCAUAUUCAGCAGCACAUAUACCAAAAUUGGAAUGACACAGAGAAGAUUAGCAUGGCUCCUGCGCACAGAUGACAUACAAAUUCAUGAAGCAUUCCCUAUUUAA